UUUGUGUGUCUCUAGACGCACACGAGAAUGUCCAUGCACUUGUGUGAGUGUGGAUAUCCUUGCAUCGAGUGCAUGCGUAACUCGGUGUGUAUCGAUCUAGCGACAGGCGUAGUUGCUUUUACAUAUUUCUUCAGGUAAGGUCCAGUCUGCCGCGCUUUAGCAGGCUAGAGGGGAAUGCGCGAGACAGACGAGGCGCAAACGCCCCUCGUUCAAAACAAAAUGGAAAGACAAAUGAGAAGGAACAGAAGUCAAGGCGAGAGACAACUGUUGGCAGAAGGACAGAGCAUGGACAAGCGGGUCGGCAAGCACCUGCUUGGAAGGAAGAAGCAUGUUGAUACAAAGUCGGCGUUCUGGUCGCAUUCUCACAUUGGAAGCCCCGAUCGGUCACCGCAGGAAGCAGAGGAAAGGUUUCCGCGUAUCAACAUUCUCGCAUUUUUUUUCUCGGGGAUCCUGUUCGAAUUCUCAGGCACCCCCCUGUAGUGAAUCAAAUUCAAAAGAGAAACUUGCAGACCUGUUCCCAGAUGAGAAGGAAAACACAGCAACUCUUGGCAAAGCCUGAUGAUGCAGGUGCAGUCCAAAGGCCAGUCAGAGAACGACGCACUCGAGACAUUCGUUUCUUCUUCUGAAUUUGGAUUUUCUUCGUUAACCCCAAAAAACGCGUCCUCUGUUGUUCUCUUGCCGAAAGCCAGAUUCCUCAUCUCCCUCUUGUCCUUCUCGCCUCCUCUCGUUCAUGCCCUUUGUUUCUUCUCUCUUCUUUCUUCGUUUUUUCUAAGUCUUCUCGCUUUCUUUUCCUCCUUCUCGCAGUCUCGCCUUUCGCGCUUUCGUCCGUGACGCCUUCUGCUUCAUCACUUUUCUAUCUCGGCGAGUUCGUGUCUCGUUCGUUCCAGCCGCGCAAGCAGUUUCCUUUGAACUUCUCGCGGAGCCCUCACAGAAAACCUGGAAGAGGCAAACAACGCAGAGAGUAAUGGGUUCCAGACGGGUUGCGCC
rnacentral:lncRNA from 1 species